UGGGGAAUCUUGGACAAUGGGCGCAAGCCUGAUCCAGCCAUGCCGCGUGAGUGAAGAAGGCCUUCGGGUUGUAAAGCUCUUUUUACCAGGGACGAUAAUGACGGUACCUGGAGAAUAAGCCCCGGCAAACUUCGUGCCAGCAGCCGCGGUAAUACGAAGGGGGCUAGCGUUGUUCGGAAUUACUGGGCGUAAAGCGCACGUAGGCGGAUUGUUAAGUCAGAGGUGAAAUCCCGGAGCUCAACUUCGGAACUGCCUUUGAUACUGGCAAUCUAGAGUCCGGAAGAGGUUAGUGGAAUUCCCAGUGUAGAGGUGAAAUUCGUAGAUAUUGGGAAGAACACCAGUGGCGAAGGCGGCUAACUGGUCCGGUACUGACGCUGAGGUGCGAAAGCGUGGGGAGCAAACAGGAUUAGAUACCCAUGUAGUCCCUGAGCGGGCUGGCAAGGCGCAU
rnacentral:rRNA from 1 species